CUACGUGCCAGCAGCCGCGGUAAUACGGAAGGUCCGGGCGUUAUCCGGAUUUAUUGGGUUUAAAGGGAGCGUAGGCCGUGGAUUAAGCGUGUUGUGAAAUGCAGGUGCUCAACGUCUGCACUGCAGCGCGAACUGGUCCACUUGAGUGUGCACAACGCAGGCGGAAUUCGUCGUGUAGCGGUGAAAUGCUUAGAUAUGACGAAGAACUCCGAUUGCGAAGGCAGCUUGCGGGAGCACAACUGACGCUGAAGCUCGAAAGUGCGGGUAUCGAACAGGAUUAGAUACCCUGGUAGUCCGCACGGUAAACGAUGGAUGCCCGUUGUCAGGCUGUUUCAGCCUGGUGACCAAGCGAAAGCAUUAAGCAUCCCACCUGGGGAGUACGCCGGCAACGGUGAAACUCAAAGGAAUUGACGGGGGCCCGCACAAGCGGAGGAACAUGUGGUUUAAUUCGAUGAUACGCGAGGAACCUUACCCGGGCUUGAAUUGCAGACGAAGGCUUCAGAGA
rnacentral:rRNA from 1 species